CUUUAGCAUGCGGUUUUAUACUAGGUUAGACUAGGAAUUUGUCUGCUAUUCUGGAAUUUCAUUGUACUUUUAAGUAAAAUAAUGAGUAUUCCCUGUGAAGAAGCCUGUCGGGCCAUGAGAGGGUUCCCAGUCAGCUCUGUGCUCCCCAUGUUCUUGCCAUCCUUCUCAUGCUUCUCCUGUCUUCUACUCUCCCUCCCCCUUCCUUGCCCAAACAUUGCAUUUCUAGGUGAAGACAGAAAAGGAAGUAGUGAUGUCCUCAGAGGGGCUCAGAACAAAGUUGUGUGGUCUUCGACGAAAGCUCAGCCGUGGAGAAUAAUUGAGAAUUGUGCUUGCAAGAUCACAGUCAGCGUCGCUCUUUGUGCCGGUGAAAAUAGUCCAUGUGCCUAAAGGGAGAACACCAGAGAGAGUCUGCAGAUUCUGUUCACUCUUGAGGAAAACAAAACUUGAUUUCAUGGAAUCAUCUCAUUGAGAAAGACCAUAAGAAUUAAACUAGGAGAAGGGGAAGUAAGCACUCCAUGCAAAACAUCUGUGCUUCUACACACUAAAAGAGGAGUCCGGUGGUUAACAGCAGGAGCAUUCCCAAGUUGGUGCAGUCCACAAAGGAAGAUGUGUCUGAUGCUGGUGGAAACGGGCCUUCCUCUGCCAUUUGAGAUACUGCAUCAUAGCCCUAUAGGCCUGCCCACGGGAGGCGCGGGACAGGUCUCAGUGUGCGCAGACUUCGCAUGGUGGGGAAGCUCUACUCAAGGCUUGGGAGGAGGGAUACAGAGGGUCUUCCACUCCAUGGCUGCAACCGUCUUCUCAUUGCAAAGACCUUCAUCUAGUCUAAUGAAUUUGCAUUCCUGUAGUCCACAUAAUUUUGACCCAGUUUCUCACUAAUAUACUCAAGUUUUAUUUUAGUGAAAGUGUAUCACCCCCACCCAGUUUCCAGUCAUCUUUGCCCCUUAUAGCAUCACCAGACUUCCUGCAUUGACUUGACAUGGCCUAAGAGGAUUCCCCCUAAUUUGGGGGAGGGGAUGGAAGUUGGAGGCCCAGUUGCUGUCAGACCUAAAUGGACCUGGCAAUCAUUUGGGGAGGAGAGAUGUUCUGGCUUGAAGGGUUCUUGGUGAAGUAAAGACUGCUUCUUAUCUUUGGCUAUGAAUGAACUCAAGGACACUAGGAUGUGAGGAGAAAGUAGGAUGAACUCUGUCUUUCAGAAUCAGGCUAAGGACAAAGAAGGCAUAAAAGACCCUUCAAAACUGCUCAGGCCUUUUGGGUGUGGAAUGAGGCUAACCUUCAAAGGGGAAGCUAUGACAAGAUUAGGAAUCUGUGUUUUCAAGCCAAACUAUGUCUAUGUCUAUAUCUAGAUUUGUCUUUGCCUUUUCUUUUCAUUCUCAGAAUUUCGUUAAACUAAUGAUUCAUUUAUAUCUGAGUGUCUUCAAUGGCCAGGCACUGUUUUAGACCUUGGAAAUACAGUGAGCCAAACAGGUAGGAUUCCUGCCCUGAUGGAGCUUACAUUUUAGUUGAGGGAUACAGAUAAUAAAUAUAACAAGUAAAAAAUUAGAUAAAGUAAUUUCAGAUAGUGAUAAGUGCUAUGAAAAAACUAAAAAAAAAAGAAAACCCAACUGAAGAAAAAAAAGGUGAGACAGAGAGUGACAAGGGAGAAGGGAGCAAUCUACUUUAGAUGGAUGGGCAGGAAGUUCUCUUUUGAGGAGGUGAUAUUCACCCUGAAUGACCCAAAGAAGAUCUGAAAAAAGAGUACCCUAUGAAGAGAAACAGCAACUACAAAGGUCCUGAGGUGGAAGAAAGCUUGGUUGGGCAUGACACAUGAGGUAGAGAAAGCCAAGAGAUGAAGUCACACAAAAGGCAGGGGUUAGAUCACAUCGAACUUUAAUUCAGACUUGGACUUAUUCUAAGGGCAUUAAUUGCACUUAAUUAUAAGGGCAUUUAGAAGCCAUUAAGAUAAUGUUAAGCAGGGGGAUGAAAUGACUUAUAUUAAUUUUGAAAGCUCUCCCUGGAUGCUGGUUAGAUUAUAGAUUGUCAAGAGUGCAAGCAGGGAGGCCAAGUAGGAGUCAUUUUAACAGUCCAAGUAAGACAUGACACUUAGUUUGGACAAGGUGGUAAUAGUGGAGAUAGAGAGGGGAACAGAUUCAGGAUCUGUUUUAGAGGUAGAGACAACAGAACUUGGCAAGUGGAUUGGAUAUGGAGUAGGAGAAAAUGAGAGGAAUCUAAAGGGGUUUGCUGCUUCCAUCUACUGAGAUGGAAGCCUGAAGAAGGAACAGCUUUUUGGAAGAAAAUCAAGAGAACUCUUUGUCCCAUGCUUUAUUUGAAAUGCCUGUGAAACAGCUAGCUAGAGAUUAUGAACAUAUUGUUGGAUAAAUAAGAAUUCAUGGAGACAUAUUUAGCAUUCUUUUUGGAAUUUUCAGCCUGCUUGUGGAAACCUAGGAAAGUCCAAGAAUGACCCUAAAAGGGCAGUUCCCCUUUCCUCUGGACCAGUGGAGGUGCCCUACAAGGUCCAGAUCCCCAUCAUCUAAAGGGUUUUAGCAUACCUACGGGUAGCGAUAGGCUUCAUUUCACAUAGUAGAAGUGCUUUAAAGAGUUGUGCAGGUCCAGCAACUUGUAAAUUGCUCUCUGUCAUUCACUUACAUUUCAGUUUGCCAAGCACCUUCUCCUUAAUUCUGAAUGAUCUUCAGUUGACUGUUAGCAGGAAGUGUCUGGUUUCUGCUUCCCCCUCUCCUUUCUCAUCACUCCGUGCCCUGGCUUUUCUAACCGGCCUUUCCUCUGUGGACUGUUUCAAGUUAAAAUGCUUAUAUUCACCCUUUGAUGAUACUGGAGUGCAGGGAGAGGUCUCUAAGAGAGCUCAGGAAAUAGCUCAUCACCUCUUCCUUACUUCUGAAAAGCUGAGGAAGAAAACAAAGAGUGAGACAGGCCCCCAGGAGUGACUUUAGGUCUGGGAGCCAGGUGUGCUGAGCUACUACUGAAUUUCAGAAUUAAGAGCUGUCCCCACCCAGUUCCAAGCAGCUCUGGACUGGGAGCGGGCAGACCGCAGGGAGAGCUGCAGAAACUUGUUUUUCCCUGUGGGCUGCACCUUCCAAGAGGACAAAGGUGGCAGAACUGAGCCCAGUAUGCUCAGUUACUCUGCCCAAAUUUACUUUCCAUCAUCAGAGGUGAAAUGGUUGAGCCUCAGAAGCCAGGAAACAAUCCUCCUCAUGGAAAUUUGGAGUGGAGAAAGGACAUUCUCCCCUAAUGAUAAUGGAAAUGUUCACCAUUAAUUGGCUGGUUUUAUAUGUUUGGCUUUUUAGUAAGUAGGACACAGUUAAGUUCAACAAGCAGAUAUCAAGCACAAUUCUGCCACUUACGAACUGUGCAAUUUUGGGAAAGUUACUUGAGCUGUCUCAAAUUUCUCAUUUGUAAAAACGAGUUUAAGAGUACCUGCCUUGAAAUAGAGACACAGAUGUAGAGAACAAACGUAUGGACACCAAGGGGGAAAGCGGGGUGGGUGGUGGUGGUGGGAUGAAUUGGGAGAUUGGGAAUGACAUAUAUACACUGAUAUGUAUAAAAUAGAUAACUAAU